rnacentral:rRNA from 1 species
UACGAAGGGUGCAAGCGUUACUCGGAAUUACUGGGCGUAAAGCGUGCGUAGGUGGUUUGUUAAGUCUGUUGUGAAAGCCCCGGGCUCAACCUGGGAAUGGCAAUGGAUACUGGCAGGCUAGAGUGCGGUAGAGGGUAGUGGAAUUCCCGGUGUAGCGGUGAAAUGCGUAGAGAUCGGGAGGAACACCAGUGGCGAAGGCGGCUCUCUGGAACGGUACUGACGCUGAGACGCGAAAGCGUGGGGAGCGAACAGG